CACAAGCAGCGGAGCGUGUGUUAUUCGAUGUUACACGAAGAACCUUACAGGGUUUGACAUGCAAGUGGUAGGAAGCCGAAAGGUGACCGACCCUUCGGGGAGCUUGCACAGGUGCUGCAUGGCUGUCGUCAGCUCGUGUCGUGAGAUGUUCGGUUAAGUCCGCUAACGAGCGCAACCCUCGCUGUGUGUUAUAUGUGUCACACGGGACUGCCGGUCUUAAGCCGGAGGAAGGUGGGGAUGAUGUCAAGUCAGCAUGGCCUUUAUAUCCUGGGCUACACACACGCUACAAUGGCCAACACAAUAGGUUGCUAAGCCGCGAGGUGGCGCCAAUCCAUAAAGUUGGUCUCAGUUCAGAUUGUAGGCUGCAACCCGCCUGCAUGAAGAUGGAGUUGCUAGUAACCGCAGGUCAGCUAUACUGCGGUGAAUACGUUCCCGGGGCUU
rnacentral:rRNA from 1 species